rnacentral:hammerhead_ribozyme from 1 species
AUCCAGUUGACAAGUCCCAAGUAGGACGAAAUGCGCAUCGUGGAU